rnacentral:lncRNA from 1 species
GAAUCUGUAAACUAAAGUUAAAGUUCAAGUAAUUGUAAGCAUGUAUUAAGUUAUCCUUGUUCUAUAUUCAGUGAAUUCUUCAGCUGCUUCGAUAUCUGGAAAUAUAAACAGCAUCCCUGUGCUUAACGGCACAAACUUUAAGGAAUAGAAAGAGAACAUUAUUAUAGUUCUCGGUUGCAUGGAUCUAGACCUUGCACUUCGGAUUGAGCAACCUGCUUC